rnacentral:sRNA from 1 species
UUUGAGAGUGAAAAAAUCAUGAUUGAAAAGGGGUAUGGAGAUGGGAACAAUCGUUUGUCAACACUGCAACUCUACAAUCGGUCAUAUUGAAGUAGAAAAAGUGACAACAUUGUAUGGAAAAUGCAGUCAUCAUGAUUGCAAUAAAGAAGAGAGCAAAUU